AAAGGUUUUCGCAAUUCAAAAACUUGCAAAAGGAGAUCGUCAAACUGCGGAAGGAAUGCAAUGUCUCAUUAGUUCACAGGAGCUACUUUUUCCUUCUGUUUAAAGGUGAUCAGGCCGAUUCUCUCUACAUGGGGGUAGAGCUCAGGAAGUUGUUGUUUUUUAGAGAUAAAUCUGCCCGUUGUAAUCAAGCUCCGAAAGAUGGUCGGACCUUGAUUGCUGCUUCAAGCACACAAGAUCUUCGUCGCGAGAGGCAAAUUCUCACCAAGCAUUAGCAAAAAAAGCUCACCAGGAAAGAUAGAGAGAUGCUCUUCCAAACUUGGGGGAUCGGUUUGAAUACAAAGCAUAGAAGUUUGCAGUUAGUGCACCAGUUGUGGUCCGACAAAGAAGAUAUGGACCAUGUGGCCGAGAGUGCCAAAAUUGUAGCAAAGCUUGUCAGUUUUGUUCAGCUAGAGGAAGCUUGCAACGAGAUGUUUGGCCUCA